rnacentral:sRNA from 1 species
GAUACAAGGCUCGAAAAGUACCGGACGCGUAUGCUUGCAUACGAAGGACGGACCUUGAGAGCCGAACAAACAUGAGCCAUACCGGUUUCCGAAGGAAAGCGAAAUGUAUGGCGAAUGUUUGUAGGAUUUCGGGAGCGCGAAGCGCGGAGAAAUCCGUAGUAU